rnacentral:rRNA from 1 species
AUUCAAAGCUCCGAGCCCACCGACAACAGGCAAGUCGGACUAGUGGCGGACGGGUGAGUAAUGUCUGGGAAACUUCCUGAUGGUGGGGGCUAACUACUGGAAACGGUAGCUAAUACCGCAUACCAUCGGAUGUGCCCAGAUGGGAUUCGCUAGUGGUCGGGGUAACGGCUCACCUAGGCGACGAUCCCUAGCUGGUAUGAGAGGAUGACCAGCCAAACUGGAACUGAGAACCGGUCCAGACUCCUACGGGAGGCAGCGAUAGGGAAUAUUGGACAAUGGGAGCAAGACUGAUGAGGCCAUGCCGCGUGUAUGAAGAAGGCAUUCGGGUUUUAAAGUACUUUCAGCGGGGAGGCGUUACCCGCAGAAGAAGCACCGGCUAACUCCGUGCGAGCAGCCGCGGGAAUAC